CCUCAUGCCGAUGAAGGGUGCUGCGAAGAGCCCGAUGUGUUGGGAGUUCUCCCACCAUGGAAGUGUUCACAUGAAUGGGCAGAUCUCCCACAGCAAUUUGUGGCA
rnacentral:rRNA from 14 species